rnacentral:lncRNA from 1 species
AAUUCUUAAUUUGAAUUUAUUUAAAAUAACACUUUCAAAUCCAUCCCUAACUGUAUAGUCCAGUGCAAAAUAAUCAAGCUAUUUAAAGAAAUCACAACUGAUCAUCAACACUAUUUGCACAUUUUUUCAUAGUUUUGUCUAUUCAAUUAUCUUGGCUCAAUUAGGUUUCCAUUAUUUAUAAACCUUCACACGAAGAUGUUUAGACCUAUAUCAAUGAGGGGAUUCUCAACUAUCGUUGUGAAUGGGGAAGUGGUUCGAUUAGUAGUAGACUAAGUCAAUAAGGCUGAUGCGAUAUCCAUUCACAGGGAGUGGUUCAACAACUAUCAGUAGAAGACAUCAAACAGUAAUUCCUUUGUGAUAAUAGUUAAAUGGAUUUAGGAAUUUCUUUGUUCAUUAAAUUUUUUAUACAACAAUAAUAAUCUAAGCCUAAGGCUACCCUCGAAAUUUGUCACUUGUUUAUCUUUCUAAUGGAUAAAACACGUAUUUCACUAUACAGCCCAUCGAGCUCAUUACACGCACUUUGGCCCAUUAAGACCCAUUAGACACAUUUUGGCCCAUUAAGGCCCAAUAAGCAUACUCAGCCAUUAAGACCAACUAAACCCAUUUUUUCCCACUAAGGCCCAUUAAGUAAACCCGGGCCCAACAAGGCCCAUUAGGCAGGCCAAGGCCCAUAAAGGGGGAAGCCCUUCCUGCACUCACUAAUUGAUGAGGUAGAGACCAGCCACACGGCCCUCUCGACACACGAGUGCACUUGAUAAAUUUGU